CCUACGGGCGGCAGCAGUGGGGAAUAUUGCGCAAUGGAGGCAACCCUGACCCAGCAACGCCGCGUGAAUGAUGAAGGUUUUCGGAUUGUAAAGUCCUGUGAUGGGGGAUGAACACAAUGACGGUUCCCGAAUAACCAGCCACUGCUAACUACGGUCCAGCAGCCGCGGUGAUACGGAGGGGGCAAGCGUUAUCCGUCAGGACUGGGCGUAAAGGGUGCGGAGGUGGUUUAGUAAGGUGGAUGUGAAAUUCCGGGGGCCAACGUCGGGACUACCGCCGAAACUAGUAAACUUGAGGGCAGGAGGGGGAAGGGGAAGUCCAGGUGGAGGGGUGGGAUGCGUAGAUAUUUGGAGGAACAUCAGUGGCGAAGGCGACUUACUGGAACGGAACUGACGCUGAGGCACGAAAGCGUGGGGAGCAAACAGGAUUAGAUACCCGAGUAGUC
rnacentral:rRNA from 1 species